GACGAACGCUGGCGGCGUGCUUAACACAUGCAAGUCGAACGGAAAGGCCCUGCUUGCAGGGUACUCGAGUGGCGAACGGGUGAGUAACACGUGGGUGAUCUGCCCUGCACUUCGGGAUAAGCCUGGGAAACUGGGUCUAAUACCGGAUAGGAGCCAUUUUUAGUGUGAUGGUUGGAAAGUUUUUUCGGUGUAGGAUGAGCUCGCGGCCUAUCAGCUUGUUGGUGGGGUAAUGGCCUACCAAGGCGGCGACGGGUAGCCGGCCUGGGAGGGUGGACGGCCACAUUGGGACUGAGAUACGGCCCAGACUCCUACGGGGGGCAGCAGUGGGGAAUAUUGCACAAUGGGCGCAAGCCUGAUGCAGCGACGCCGCGUGGGGGAUGACGGCCUUCGGGUUGUAAACUCCUUUCGCUAGGGACGAAGCUUUUUGUGACGGUACCUAGAUAAGAAGCACCGGCUAACUACGUG
rnacentral:rRNA from 1 species